rnacentral:ncRNA from 1 species
UAGCUGUCACCGCAAGGUUUCUGCCGGCUUGGCAGAGCAGUUUUCUGCGGCGCGCAUCGCACGCCGCAACCGGCACCGCCGGAAUCACUAGUGGCCGAU